rnacentral:rRNA from 1 species
CCUACGGGUGGCAGCAGUGAGGAAUAUUGGUCAAUGGACGAAAGUCUGAACCAGCCACGCCGCGUGAAGGAUGACGGCUCUAUGUGUUGUAAACUUCUUUUGUAGGGGAGUAAAAGCUGCCACGUGUGUCAGCUUGUAUGUAUCAUACGAAUAAGGAUCGGCUAACUCCGUGCCAGCAGCCGCGGUAAUACGGAGGAUCCGAGCGUUAUCCGGAUUUAUUGGGUUUAAAGGGUGCGUAGGGGGAUGUUUAAGUUAGAGGGGAAAGUUUGCGGCUCAACUGCGAAAUUGCAGUGGAAACUGUACGUCUAGAGUACAGGAGAGGUAGGCGGAAUGCGUGGUGUAGCGGUGAAAUGCGUAGAUAUCAUGAAGAACUCCGAUUGCGAAGGCAGCUUACUGGACCGUAACUGACGCUGAGGCUCGAAAGCGUGGGGAGCAAACAGGAUUAGAUACCCGUGUAGUC